CUCUACGGCCAUACCGCCCUGAACGCACCCGAUCCUGUCUGACCUCGGAAGCAAUGGACUUGUUUGAUUCAAGGUUGCCACAAAUCUUCAAUUUGUGAGAAACACAGUAUCUGGGAAGC
rnacentral:rRNA from 1 species